rnacentral:snRNA from 1 species
GUGCUCACUUUGGUAGCACAUAUAAUAAAAUUGAAAUGAUACAGAGGAGGUGAACAUGGCCCCUCUGCAAGGAUAACAUGCAAAUUUGUGUUCUAUAUUUUC